AACGAACGCUGGCGGCAGGCUUAACACAUGCAAGUCGAGCGCGUAGCAAUACGAGCGGCAGACGGGUGAGUAACGCAUGGGAAUCUACCGAGCCCUAAGGAAUAGCUCCGGGAAACUGGAAUUAAUACCUUAUACGCACUUUGGGGGAAAGAUUUAUCGGGGCUUGAUGAGCCCGCGUUGGAUUAGCUAGUUGGUAGGGUGAAGGCCUACCAAGGCGACGAUCCAUAGCUGGUCUGAGAGGAUGAUCAGCCACAUUGGGACUGAGACACGGCCCAAACUCCUACGGGAGGCAGCAGUGGGGAAUAUUGGACAAUGGGCGCAAGCCUGAUCCAGCCAUGCCGCGUGAGUGAUGAAGGCCCUAGGGUUGUAAAGCUCUUUCACCGGUGAAGAUAAUGACGGUAACCGGAGAAGAAGCCCCGGCUAACUUCGUGCCAGCCGCCGCCGUAAAAC
rnacentral:rRNA from 1 species